rnacentral:rRNA from 1 species
GCAGGCUUAACACAUGCAAGUCGAGGGGCAUCAGGAAGAAAGCUUGCUUUCUUUGCUGGCGACCGGCGCACGGGUGAGUAACACGUAUCCAACCUGCCCUUUACUCGGGGAUAGCCUUUCGAAAGAAAGAUUAAUACCCGAUAGCAUAAUGAUUCCGCAUGGUUUCAUUAUUAAAGGAUUCCGGUAAAGGAUGGGGAUGCGUUCCAUUAGGUUGUUGGUGGGGUAACGGCCCACCAAGCCUUCGAUGGAUAGGGGUUCUGAGAGGAAGGUCCCCCACAUUGGAACUGAGACACGGUCCAAACUCCUACGGGAGGCAGCAGUGAGGAAUAUUGGUCAAUGGGCGCUAGCCUGAACCAGCCAAGUAGCGUGAAGGAUGAAGGCUCUAUGGGUCGUAAACUUCUUUUAUAUAAGAAUAAAGUGCAGUAUGUAUACUGUUUUGUAUGUAUUAUAUGAAUAAGGAUCGGCUAACUCCGUGCCAGCAGCCGCGGUAAUACGGAGGAUCCGAGCGUUAUCCGGAUUUAUUGGGUUUAAAGGGAGCGUAGGUGGACUGGUAAGUCAGUUGUGAAAGUUUGCGGCUCAACCGUAAAAUUGCAGUUGAUACUGUCAGUCUUGAGUACAGUAGAGGUGGGCGGAAUUCGUGGUGUAGCGGUGAAAUGCUUAGAUAUCACGAAGAACUCCGAUUGCGAAGGCAGCUCACUGGACUGCAACUGACACUGAUGCUCGAAAGUGUGGGUAUCAAACAGGAUUAGAUACCCUGGUAGUCCACACAGUAAACGAUGAAUACUCGCUGUUUGCGAUAUACAGUAAGCGGCCAAGCGAAAGCAUUAAGUAUUCCACCUGGGGAGUACGCCGGCAACGGUGAAACUCAAAGGAAUUGACGGGGGCCCGCACAAGCGGAGGAACAUGUGGUUUAAUUCGAUGAUACGCGAGGAACCUUACCCGGGCUUAAAUUGCAGUGGAAUGAUGUGGAAACAUGUCAGUGAGCAAUCACCGCUGUGAAGGUGCUGCAUGGUUGUCGUCAGCUCGUGCCGUGAGGUGUCGGCUUAAGUGCCAUAACGAGCGCAACCCUUAUCUUCAGUUACUAACAGGUCAUGCUGAGGACUCUGGAGAGACUGCCGUCGUAAGAUGUGAGGAAGGUGGGGAUGACGUCAAAUCAGCACGGCCCUUACGUCCGGGGCUACACACGUGUUACAAUGGGGGGUACAGAAGGCAGCUAGCGGGUGACCGUAUGCUAAUCCCAAAAUCCUCUCUCAGUUCGGAUCGAAGUCUGCAACCCGACUUCGUGAAGCUGGAUUCGCUAGUAAUCGCGCAUCAGCCACGGCGCGGUGAAUACGUUCCCGGGCCUUGUACACACCGCCCGUCAAGCCAUGGGAGCCGGGGGUACCUGAAGUACGUAACCGCAAGGAUCGUCCUAGGGUAAAACUGGUGACUGGGG